UGGGCCUCUUUCAAUAUGAAGUCUUACAUGC
rnacentral:piRNA from 1 species